AACAUCGCGCACCUGCGGGAACCUGCGGAGGGAUCAUCAUCGAAUUCUUAUAUUUCAUACAAGUUGUGAGAGUGUGUGGUGUUGUGGGUGGUGGGGGGAAAAGAAAAGAAGUGUUUUCAUACUCUUCCUCUUCUCUCUCCCCCCCACACACCACACAUACUCUGCAGCUUCAACCAAACGAUCACAACUAUAUCAGAGGGGGGAAAUUUUGACUUGGUUGGUUGUGGGGGGGAGCGCCUG
rnacentral:misc_RNA from 1 species